rnacentral:rRNA from 1 species
GGUAAGUCCCCGCAACGAGCGCAACCCCUAUCUCUAGUUGCCAGCGAUUCGGUCGGGGACUCUAGAGAUACUGCCCCGGUUAACGGGGAGGAAGGUGGGGAUGACGUCAAGUCCUCAUGGCCCUUAUGCCCAGGGCUACACACGUGCUACAAUGGGCGGUACAAAGGGUUGCCAAGCCGCGAGGUGGAGCUAAUCCCAUAAAACCGAUCGUAGUCCGGAUCGCAGUCUGCAACUCGACUGCGUGAAGUCGGAAUCGCUAGUAAUCGUGAAUCAGAAUGUCACGGUGAAUACGUUCCCGGGCCCU